CCUAUACAAUUCAAAAUGGCCGUCUAUAUGUGUGUACACUCGGUUUUUUUAUCGGUUACGCAUAGAUGGUAUGUUAUGAGAAAUGUUGGUAAUAACAAAUAACGUUUUCCGAAUUCGAAAGAAUUGCUGAAUAAUCUACUGAAAAAUGAGCGUAACUCUACACACGGAUGUCGGUGACAUAAAGGUAGAAUUGUUUUGUGAGCUAUGUCCAAAAACAAGUGAGAAUUUCCUCGCUUUGUGUGCUAGCGAUUAUUAUAAUAAUUGUUUAUUUCAUCGCAAUAUAAAAGGAUUUAUUGUACAAACUGGAGAUCCAACACAAACCGGUAAAGGUGGAACUUCGAUAUGGAAUCGUAAAUUUGAAGACGAGUUCAAGGAAGAAUUGAAACACAAUGCCAGAGGUCUUGUGUCUAUGGCAAAUAAUGGUCCAAAUACAAAUGGAAGUCAAUUUUUCAUUACAUAUGGGCCACAACCACAUUUAGACCUAAAGUACACUUUAUUUGGAAAAGUAAUAGAUGGAAUGGAAACAUUAGAGCAAUUGGAAAAAUUGCCUGUGAACCCAAAGAAUUAUAAACCCCUUACAGAAACCCGAAUAACCAGUGUCACUGUUCAUGCUAAUCCUUUGGCAUGUUAGCUGUACAUUAAUUAUAAGAAACUCGUCUGUAAUAUUCUCUCCGUUUGGGUGCUUAACAAAUCUGUAUAGAAAAAGAACGAAAGAACAAUAGCCAACGAGAACGUCGUUCCUAUAAAUAGGUUCUAAACCCCAUAAUGGGACACUGCUAAUAUAACAAAGAUUAAGACAGUUGCAUUUAUCAUAUAUAAAUAAUACGUUCGAACGAACAAUGCCUGAUCACUAUUCUGUUGCAAUGGGCAUACCUGUCUACAUGGAAAUGCAUCAGUUUCUUUUUAAUUCCAUUUUGCCGCAACUGAUCGAUUACUGAUUUCCCUCGAUAGUGACCGUAAUUGCGACAAACAAAUCCUAAUCCAGCUUCGAUGGGGUUAUCGUCUGUUCGAAGAUCCGAGCCCCAAAGAUGAUAACCUACAAAAUACAUGUAAGAGAAUUUAGAACAGUAUGUGGGAUUUGUAUAGUUCACCUAAUCUCCUUUUGGAAAUGUUCUUAUUAAGUACCUUUUUCGCAACUCAGACUGUACAGUGCUCUGAAUCCUGCAAGUUUCAUAUGAAAUUUUUCUCUGUAUUGCAUUAAUGCUGUAUAAAUUGAUUGGCACGACGA